rnacentral:rRNA from 1 species
CCUUAUUAAGCCCAAAGGAGCAGGUAUCAGGCACAAUUAUUUAGCCCAAAACACCUUGCUACGCCACACCCACACGGGCACCCAGCAGUGAUAAAUAUUAAGCAAUGAGUGAAAGCCAACCUAAGCUCGACUUAGUUAUGAUCAUUAGGGCCGGUAAACCUCGUGCCAGCCACCGCGGUUAUACGAGGGGCUCAAAACAACAGAUAUCGGCGUAAAUUGUGGCUAGAGCACCUCUUACAGCACUGAAAAAUGAACGAAAGUCUAAUCGUAAAAUCUAGACCAAAAGAAACACAUACUUUCAGCUUAAAAGCAACUUGAACCCACGAAGACUAAGAAACAAACUAGGAUUAGAUACCCUACUAUGCUUAGUUGUUAAUAUGACACUAAAAAACACCACUGUCCGCCAGAGAAUUACACGCGAAAAGCUUAAAACUCAAAGGACUUGGCGGUGCUCCGUAUUCGUCUUAGAGGAGCCUGUCCUAUAAUCGAUAACCCACGCUUUACCUUACCAUCUUUUGCUAAACAGCCUAUAUACCGCCGUCGCAAACUUACCCCAUGAGGGCACAAUAGUAAGUAAAACAGUAACACACUAACACGUCAGGUCAAGGUGUAGCUAAUAAGAUGGAAGAGAUGGGCUACAUUUUCUAAAACAGAACACAC